UCAACAGCAUGAAAAAGGACAGAAACCAUAAAAAAGAACCAGUCAGAAUUGAGGGAUACACCAACUGAAAUGAAGACUAAUUAAUUUACAGGGAAUCGACAACAAAGAAGAAAAAGCUAAUAA